GAUGAACGCUAGCUACAGGCUUAACACAUGCAAGUCGAGGGGAAACGAUAUUGGAAGCUUGCUUCCGAUAGGCGUCGACCGGCGCACGGGUGAGUAACGCGUAUCCAACCUGCCCACCACUUGGGGAUAACCUUGCGAAAGUAAGACUAAUACCCAAUGAUAUCCCUAGAAGACAUCUGAAGGAGAUUAAAGAUUUAUCGGUGAUGGAUGGGGAUGCGUCUGAUUAGCUUGUUGGCGGGGUAACGGCCCACCAAGGCGACGAUCAGUAGGGGUUCUGAGAGGAAGGUCCCCCACAUUGGAACUGAGACACGGUCCAAACUCCUACGGGAGGCAGCAGUGAGGAAUAUUGGUCAAUGGGCGAGAGCCUGAACCAGCCAAGUAGCGUGCAGGAUGACGGCCCUACGGGUUGUAAACUGCUUUUAUAAGGGAAUAAAGUGAGUCUCGUGAGACUUUUUGCAUGUACCUUAUGAAUAAGGACCGGCUAAUUCCGUGCCAGCCGCCGCAGUAA
rnacentral:rRNA from 1 species